rnacentral:rRNA from 1 species
UACGAAGGGGGCUAGCGUUGCUCGGAAUGACUGGGCGUAAAGGGCGCGUAGGCGGAUGGCACAGUCAGAUGUGAAAUUCCCGGGCUUAACCUGGGGGCUGCAUUUGGGACUGCAAGGCUUGAGUGCGGCAGAGGAGACUGGAAUUCCUGGUGUAGCGGUGAAAUGCGCAGAUAUCAGGAGGAACACCGAUGGCGAAGGCAGGUCUCUGGGCCACUACUGACGCUGAGAAGCGAAAGCAUGGGGAGCGAACAGG